GAUUUAGCCUAAGCCGUUCGGAAUAAUUUUCGGAACUCCUUCAUAAUCAUCGUAUUACCUGGAAGAAAAAUGGCAGGAAUAAGAGGUUCGAAACAAAAUCCCUUUGCGUCUCUUAAAUAAUACUUCCCAGUAAAAACAAUGACAUAUUUAAAAGACGAAUGUAAUGACAUUCAAGUUUACAUAGUUUUAUUUUACUAUAUUAAGUACCAGCGGGUCAGGGUGCUAUGACAAUGAGUCAUUUUCUAUAGCACAGCCACAGGAUAAAUGAAUAAUAAUAUAAUAAAUACACUUUAUAACAGACAUGGUAUUAUUUGUUAAAGAUUAUAUUUUAAGUUAUCAUUGUUUGAAACAAAACUACUCAACAUUAACUUUACCAUAAAUUGUGUCCAAAAAAAUACUC
rnacentral:lncRNA from 1 species